ensembl:lncRNA
GUGAGUAUCUCCCUGUAGCUUAUCUGUACGUCUGUCUUGUUUUGACAGUGUACCGCUCACAUGCAAAAAUAUGUCGCAAUACUUUCCUGUGUGAGUGAUACAUAGUUAAUAUGAUCAAUAGAGGCUUUAGAGGCUUUUUAGCAUGAUUUUAUCCAUCUGGCUGUAACCAGAUGGUCACCAUUACAACAAGUCAGUUUGUGAAAUUUCUUCCAUCCUAGAUAUUCCAGGAUUAACUGUAAAUGUUAUUGUUGCAAAGUGGAAGCACUUAGUAACCAUAACAACGCAUCUGCAAAGUGGCAGACCACGUCAAGAUGGUAUAGCUCGCAGCCAUACCAAUUUAAACACGCCUGGUCUCAUCUGAUGGGCAAGCUGGUCGUUUGCUAAUCAAAAGAGCAAGUCUUUUGUCCUGUGUAACCCAUAUCAACUACACCCUGUCACAUGACCCACAUCAGCUGAUUUGAGGUCCCUCUCAUGAUUUGCUCCUUCCACGUUGUGGCAACUAUGAAAACCGGCUGUGGAGGGAUACUUCCGGGUUCGACUCCUGCUGUUGCUGUAAGCUUAUGGCGUUUAGAACUGCGUUGGAAAACAAAGCGUUUUCUCCCCUCAAUUCAUCUAUAAACUCAUUUCACCUCAGCGGUCAGGUUUUUUUCCCCCCUUUGAAUCGAUCUUCUUCAUAUUGAAGUGGCGAGCCGGUAGGACCAUUCUUUUUUCCCCCUCUUUCCCCCACUUUGCCGUCUUUGGAUUACGGACAUAUUUCCCCAUUACAUGAAGCUGGACCCUAAGGAGGAAUUCCUUAAAGGUGAACUUUAAAAAAAAGGACCAAAAGGACUCUUAACAAAAGGACUCUUGCACAGAGAAUCACAGCAUUAAUUUAUUAAUUAAUUGUGGACAUUUAUUUAUGUUGUGUGUUGUAUUAAUUAUUUUUUUCCAUUCCCCCCAUUUAUUCAAUAUAUUUUUGGUACAAGAUAUUGCAGUCUUUGGUUUCGUCAUCCACACCAUCUAGGCUCCAUAAAGAACUAUUUCUUCUGCGUGUCAGUCAGUAAACUCACCCAUUGCAAUAAAACUAGCCCUUAAAUAACUUUGCGUUACACCUGUCUUUCUCCCCUAACCCCAACUGGUGGCGGCAGAUGGCUGCCCCUCCCUGAGUCUGGUACUGUUGGAGGUUUCUUCUUGUUAAAAGGGAGUUUUCCCUUUCCACUGUUGCAAAUACUGCUACACUCGAAGGAUGCCACAAUGGAUUUCUUUGACUUAUGAUUACAGUUAUCACUUUUUGAUCACUUUUGUACAAUUAGUGUUUACAGUAAUGGUGCAAGUAAUGGUCAAGUUGCAGAUCCCAACAUCAUGUUGAGAUCUGCAACUUGACAUGACAAACAUACAUAACGUACUUGUAAGUGAAAAAUUAAACUCUAUACUGUAUAUCACAAAGGUCCCUUACACCAUUACUUAUAGGAGAAUAAUGAUCAAAAACAGAAGCAAAGUUUGUACAAGUCUAGAUACUGACCAUAGUUGGGCUGACGGUAGUAUGCUCCAUGAAGUGCCUAACAUGGAGACAAAAUCUAGCAAGUAAAAACCGGUUAAAGCUGUUCGUCUUGCUUCCUUGCUUCGUUAACGGGAAUAAGUCUCUAAACCAGUGGGGCCUGUGGAAACGCAAACCCAACACUGUGUCUCAAUCUCGUGGCCCAUGUCACCUCUACUUAGGGCCCGCAUAAUGACGUGAAGAAAUACUUUUUAAAAUUAUUGUUCAAAAAAUUAUUUAAUAUGAAGGCAAUAGGCAGAGUGUUACAGGCAUAGCCCUAAAGAAUGUAGCCUCAUGGGCAGUGUAGCCCAGUUGUAAGUAAGCUAUUAAGACUCGACUGUACACUGUGUUCGUGUUUUCCUCCGAAACAAUAAGUUCCGUUGGAGCAGCCUUUCAAUGCCUCUCUCUGUCUCUCGCUAGCAAAGUUGAUCCAGACAACAAAGUAAAGCUAGUUUUCAGCUAUGAGCCCGACACAGAACCCGACGUAUUAGCCAGAGGUCCCUUUACUACGGUUCGGAGCCGCGGACCUGUUUUAUACACACGCGGAAUAGUUUUCUGCACGAGAUCGCUGCAAAAAGUGCAGCCUUACCUAAUGUCCACCCUACUGUUACUCAUUUUAUAUUAAGAUUUAAAAAUCUAGUAGGUAUUGGUGUGGCGAGUAACCUUCAGUAAUAGCAAUACACACACAGCAAUAGUACAUUCAUGUAGUUGUAAAAAGCAUGAUAAUAUAUUAAGUAAUCCAAAGUAUUCAGAAUAUUUUACUCUCAUUGAGUAACGUAUUCUGAAUACGUUACAAAAUACAUUUUGGGGCAUGUAUUCUGUAAUCUGUAGUGGAAUACAUUUUAAAAGUAACCUUCCCAACACUGGUCGCAGGAUGCUGUGAGAUUAUUAUAUUAUCUUAUGCCACGUUAUACCCCUAAUUAAAGAUUGUGAAAUCAUUAUGUAGUUUUAGCUUGCAUUAUUCUCCUGACUUAGAAGAAAUUGAUAACUAUUACAUUUAUUAAACUGAUUUGUAUUACAUUAGACUGCUGCAUUAUUGUGAAUAAAUGAUAUUGUUUUAUGAUGCAUGAUACUGCUGAGUUAUAAGAAAUACUGUUUUCAGAGAGUCAUGGCCUUAUUUGUCUGAAGAGAACAGAGCAUACCGGAGAGGUUUUCUGCCCCAUCUCAUCAGGAGGAGAUAAAACAGGGGGCCAAGGCCGUCACUUAGGCGCCGUAAGAGAGAAAGAAUGUGGAUGUUUAGGUUUUAUGACUAGGUGGAGGGGGGCUGAAGCUAUAAGAAUGUGAGAAACGCUCAGACACGUCGAGAUCAGGCGGACACCCUCCCGCGCUCAUCUCCCCUCCGGAUGGUUUAAGCUCAAAGGUGUUGUUUGGAAUAAUGAGAAUUGUAUGGAAUAAAGAGAUUAUUGAUUGAGCAUUUAUACACUGAGUGUUGUCCUUCCUUCAGCCCAAAGAUCAAAAGAACUGGAGAAUUUAACAAUGCUCGGAUGCGUUGCUAUGACGACAACCAUGCACAUUAGGUAGCGCUGGAUUGUAGUGGAAAACCACUCGAUCCCAUUCAUGGUGUUCCGUGGCCAGUCGAUCAGAGUAGGCACUUAUGGAAAUGGGACUUUUGAGAAAAAGUUUUUUGAGUUUUUUUGCGAACAAAGAUGAUUUGGAGAACUCUAGUAAACACAGAGGGACAAAGUUGAUGAGCAAUAAUAUGAAGCUGUGGGGAAAGAGUUGUGCCCAGCUUGAGUGAUUCUUGUAUGGAAAUGUCAUUCUUGAUGAUCCACAUGUUUAAUUUAGCAAUGAUUUUAUACCGGAUACCCUUUAUCCAUUCAUACAGGCUUGGGACCCGUACUAAGAAUACACUUGCUUGUACACUUAUAAAUUAAGAAACACUAAUUUACGUAACCACAUGAAUACCUUUUGGCUGUGGGAAUUCUGAGUACCUGUACACGAUUACCUGUUGUAAUGCUAUGUAUUCUGUUUACACAAUUCUGUAGACCAUUAAACAUAACCAGAUGUUGCAUGUAAGAUGGCAAUAUUUUUUAAAUAAGAAAAAAGCUAUUUCAGACCUUUUAAUGAAGUAUAUGCAGUUUAUUCAUUACAAAAUGACACUGAAUACAAGCAGUCAGAACAGUCAGGCAAC